rnacentral:rRNA from 1 species
UACGUAGGGCGCAAGCGUUAUCCGGAAUUAUUGGGCGUAAAGAGCUCGUAGGCGGUUUGUCGCGUCUGCCGUGAAAGUCCGGGGCUCAACUCCGGAUCUGCGGUGGGUACGGGCGGACUUGAGUACUGCAGGGGAGACUGGAAUCCUGGUGUAGCGGUGAAAUGCGCAGAUAUCAGGAGGAACACCGGUGGCGAAGGCGGGUCUCUGGGCAGUAACUGACGCUGAGGAGCGAAAGCGUGGGGAGCGAACAGG